UUGAGGUAGGGGGACUCUUCAGAACUGGACUCUGCCUCUGGAUGCAUCUUGUGUUCCCCACUAGCAGACGGGCUGCCGCUGUGCCACUCGAGAGCUACACUCAGCUUUGAACGCUAGCGCUCUGCGGACGUCCAGUGUAUGGAGGGAGGCCUUCCUGCUGUCAGCAUGGGGUUUGGGGAAAAAUACAGAACAGUGGGCCUCCAGUCCCAUCAGCCAUGGAUCAGCCAGGCCUUGAGAUGGAGUACCGAGAUGGUGGGAUGACAAAGGUGACCUGCGUCCUGUGUCAAUAGAUGAGGCACAAGGGGAAGGGUUUGCAGUGGUCUCACAGCCAUCUGUUUCAGGAUGAAGGAUAAGAAAAGAAAAUGAAGGAGCUAACUAACUACGAGAGGGAAAACAGGUAAAAAUGACCACGCUCAUCAUUCGUCGAGAGAAUUAAGUCUCCUCUCCUCACUAAAGGCAUAAGGCUUUGGAAAGGCACAGGUGGAGGGACUUUGGAUCAUCUGAAGAGAGACUGGCAAGUCUGUUACUAAACUGGCAUCAUCCCAGGAGACUUGAGUGAUGGCAUAAUGAGUGGAAAAGGAAUGCACAGACAAGCAUGUUGCUAUCUUACAUACAACAGCUACUGGAACGUUGCUGAGAAAAGCUGAUGAAGUGGACUGAGCCCCAAUGGAGUUUUAAGGAUCAGGCUGAAGAGAAAGAAGCAGGUCUGGACACUGGCGACUCACACUUAGGCCAUGUGGUAGUAAGAAGGAACUGAAAAAGGUGAUCAGUCCUCCCCAUCCUUUAUAUACUUGGUGCAGAGCAUGAAGAGAGUAGGGGCACAGGCGCUGACCUAUGGACACUGCUUUCAAAAAUUCUCUAGUCUAAGGUGCAUGCACACUCACAAUGGAAUAUACAUAGGGCCAGCACUCAAAGAAGAACUUGCUUUUCAGCCUUCCACUUCCAUCACAAUUGU